rnacentral:rRNA from 1 species
UACAGAGGUCCCAAGCGUUUGUUCGGAUUCACUGGGCGUAAAGGGUGCGCAGGUGGGUUUGCAAGUUCGAUGUGAAAGCCCCGGGCUUAACCCGGGAAUGGCAUUGGAUACUGCAGAUCUGGAGGAUCGGAGGGGGGACUGGAAUUCUUGGUGUAGCAGUGAAAUGCGUAGAUAUCAAGAGGAACACCAGUGGCGAAGGCGAGUCCCUGGACGGUACCUGACACUGAGGCGCGAAAGCUAGGGGAGCAAACAGG